rnacentral:rRNA from 1 species
GUGCCAGCAGCCGCGGUAAUACGUAGGGUGCGAGCGUUGUCCGGAUUUAUUGGGCGUAAAGAGCUCGUAGGUGGUUUGUUGCGUCGGGAGUGAAAACACACAGCUUAACUGUGUGCUUGCUUUCGAUACGGGCAGACUUGAGGGGUGUAGGGGAGAACGGAAUUCCUGGUGGAGCGGUGGAAUGCGCAGAUAUCAGGAGGAACACCGGUGGCGAAGGCGGUUCUCUGGACAUUUCCUGACGCUGAGGAGCGAAAGCGUGGGGAGCAAACAGGCUUAGAUACCCUGGUAGUCCACGCCGUAAACGGUGGGCACUAGGUGUGGGGGACAUUCCACGUUCUCCGUGCCGUAGCUAACGCAUUAAGUGCCCCGCCUGGGGAGUACGGCCGCAAGGCUAAAACUCAAAGGAAUUGACGG